CCUGACGACCAGAGCACGCGUGAACCACCUGAUCCCAUGCCGAACUCAGAAGUGAAACCGCUGAGCGCCGAUGGUAGUGUGGGGUCUCCCCCUGUGAGAGUAGGUCAUCGUCAGGC
rnacentral:rRNA from 1 species